UUGGUGAUUGAGUGGCGGACGGGUGAGUAACGCGUGGGUAACCUACCCUGUACAGGGGGAUAACAGUCAGAAAUGACUGCUAAUACCGCAUAAGACCACAGCACCGCAUGGUGCAGGGGUAAAAACUCCGGUGGUAUGAGAUGGACCCGCGUCUGAUUAGGUAGUUGGUGGGGUAACGGCCUACCAAGCCGACGAUCAGUAGCCGACCUGAGAGGGUGGCCGGCCACAUUGGGACUGAGACACGGCCCAAACUCCUACGGGAGGCAGCAGUGGGGAAUAUUGCACAAUGGGGGAAACCCUGAUGCAGCGACGCCGCGUGAGCGAAGAAGUAUUUCGGUAUGUAAAGCUCUAUCAGCAGGGAAGAAGAAAUGACGGUACCUGACUAAGAAGCACCGGCUAAAUACGUGCCAGCAGCCGCGGUAAUACGUAUGGUGCAAGCGUUAUCCGGAUUUACUGGGUGUAAAGGGAGCGCAGGCGGAAGGCUAAGUCUGAUGUGAAAGCCCGGGGCUCAACCCCGGUACUGCAUUGGAAACUGGUCAUCUAGAGUGUCGGA
rnacentral:rRNA from 1 species